GACGUAGGGCGCGAGCGUUGUCCGGAUUUAUUGGGCGUAAAGAGCUCGUAGGCGGCUUGUCGCGUCGUCCGUGAAAACUUGGGGCUCAACCCCAAGCCUGCACUGGAAACUGCCUCGCUUGAGUCCGGGAGGGGAGAGCGGAAUUCCUAGUGUAGCGGUGAAAUGCGCAGAUAUUAGGAAGAACACCGGUGGCGAAGGCGGCUCUCUGGAACGGUACUGACGCUGAGACGCGAAAGCGUGGGGAGCGAACAGG
rnacentral:rRNA from 1 species